AGAAGAUUAAUAGGAGGAGAGAGAGAGAAAGGGGAUAGAGAGAUGGGAUAGAAGAGAGAGAGAGAUAAAAGGGGGAUUCGAGCCGUAAAGGAAGAUUCGAAUGGCUCGAAUCGGUCUUAACUCACGGACCGUCGAAGAAAUUAUACCGAAAAAUCGUCAAAAUUAAAGUUGUACUUUUUGAGUGAAGUGCGAGUGACAAUAAGGGAAGAAGGAGUUGCACGUCCUAGGAACCGCACAAGUCGGGCGACAUUCACCCUCCUCGCUGGAUUCAAACGACGGAAGAGAUACCUCGGAGAAAACGCCGGUGGUCAGCGAGCCCCCAACGUUAUCGCUGCUCCACGCGUAUACGGGUCGAACGUUUCGAAGGUUGCAGGGCGGUGAGGUCUGGUCGAGCCUAGCCCCCGCUCAUCGUCACUUGGACCGAUGAGACCGAUCCCCGUGUGCAGGCACCCUUCCGUUGUAUUCGUGAGUCCACCUCGUUCCUAGGUAAGAGCCGACCCUGAGAUGCCGUAUUAUUGUGCAGUAAAAGGAUGUGGAAACAAGGUUCUCAUAACGAAAAAUAACCCGGACAUUGUUUACCACACUUUUCUCCGAGAUGGAGAUAAAAAUCCAGGUAUAUGCUCACGUCAUUUCCAUAGCAGCAGCUACGAUGACCGACAUCAAAUGCGCCAU